CUCCGAUAGACUUUCUGUUGUCGGUGUCAUGUUGACUAAUAAUGUGCUGCUGCUGCUGCUGCUGCUGCUGCUUGUUGUCCUUUCCAGCUGCUUUCUCGGAUAAAAAUAUUUGAAAAUUGCCGAAAAUCAGAGACUCGGUAGUGACUUGGCCAAGAAACAUUUCCAAGCUGUCUUCACAAGACUUCCAAAAUGGCGACAAACUUCAACUCAGAUAAACGUGGAACCGCGUGCCACGUAUGAUUACUAAAGUGUUGUCCUAGACGGGCUCUGGUGGCGGAUCUCCAUUGUCGCCUGGAUGAAGAACAACUUGGAUUUGUUCCUUGGUGACGUCUAAUUGUUCUUU